rnacentral:rRNA from 1 species
GGUGAACGCUGGCGGUAGGCCUAACACAUGCAAGUCGAACGGCAGCACAGUAAGAGCUUGCUCUUACGGGUGGCGAGUGGCGGACGGGUGGGGAAUACAUCGGAAUCUACUUUUUCGUGGGGGAUAACGUAGGGAAACUUACGCUAAUACCGCAUACGACCUACGGGUGAAAGCAGGGGAUCUUCGGACCUUGCGCGAUUGAAUGAGCCGAUGUCGGAUUAGCUAGUUGGCGGGGUAAAGGCCCACCAAGGCGACGAUCCGUAGCUGGUCUGAGAGGAUGAUCAGCCACACUGGAACUGAGACACGGUCCAGACUCCUACGGGAGGCAGCAGUGGGGAAUAUUGGACAAUGGGCGCAAGCCUGAUCCAGCCAUACCGCGUGGGUGAAGAAGGCCUUCGGGUUGUAAAGCCCUUUUGUUGGGAAAGAAAAGCAGCAGGUUAAUACCCCGCUGUUCUGACGGUACCCAAAGAAUAAGCACCGGCUAACUUCGUG